rnacentral:rRNA from 1 species
GAGUCUGGCAAUAGCUGGUUCCUACCAAAGUUGGCCGUAGUCAAGCCUUAGGGGAGAUGGCUAGAGUGAUAGAGCUACGGGUUGAAGAUUUAGGUCCCGAAAGGGAUCGGUUUUCUGUCCAACUCCGAACAUUCUAGCAUCACAGAACCUAGGAGACGGGAAGCCGAGGUAAGCUCGGUUUCCGAGAGGGGAACAACCCAGACUAUAGUUAAGGUCCCUAAAUGCUGACUAAGUGUGAAAGGGUGAAAAGUGUCUAUGGUCGAAGACAGCAAGGAGGUUGGCUUAGAAGCAGCCAUCCUUUAAAAAGUGCGUAUGCCUGCCGACAAAUUCAUUUUCGGCAUGCCGCAAGACAGCUUACUCGUCAAGACUGUAGGCCUUUAAAAUGGACGGGGCUAAGUCAGUUACCGAUACUAUAGAAUACCUAAAAGGUAAUUAGUAGGUAGGCGUUCUAUAAGGGCAGAAGUAUUCUUGCAAAAGAAUAUGGACCUUAUGGAAAUGAGAAUCCUGGCGGUAGUAGGAUCUUAGCACUGUAAGAAUCAGUGCCACUGAAAGGGCAAGGGUUCCUUGGCAAUGCAAAUCAGCCAAGGGUUAGUCGAGCCUAACCCAAUCCAUAAAUUGGAUUUGGGGAAAGGGAUAAAGGUUAAUAUUCCUUUACUAUUCAAGUAUGUGUGGCAACGCAAGAUUUAUUCCUGACAUUUCUGAUUAA